UAAUAUUUCCCUAUCUUGACACGAUUCGUACGCUUGCGAGAGUAUAUGCAUCAAGUCAGGUAUCAUUUUGUCCGAUGCAAGAAAGUUUGACCCUAGUGGUGAUAAAAACUCUUUUGAUUUAUCCACCAAACCUUACAAUUAAAAUCACCUUACCAUAUAGGACGGGAGAGAAAGAAAGAGAGGGAUAGAGAGAAAAGAGGAUAAGGAAGAGCUUACCAGUGGAAGAGAUGAAGAAAGUCUCUAGGAUCUUCUGUCGAGACGAGGGAGAGAGAAUUCAUCUUUCUUUGGCUGGCUAGUCUGAGAUAGGGGCCCAAUUUGGGAAUACUUUUAAAACUGCUUUUGAUCUUAAAAAUACUUCUGAAAUUAUUUGAGGUGUUUGGUAAACUAUCUAAAGUCAGCUUUUGGCCAGAAGCGAUUCUCUAGACCGCGGAAAUAUGGAAGCUGCAAAUAGCAGCUUUUUAUUUCUGCUUCUACGGGAAUCAAGUUAAGAACGCGGAAGACUUAAUGAAACAUAAUGAACUGCCCAGAUUGUCCUCGUGCUUUUAUGAGUUUUACAUUGACAGGUCCUUUGUUCUGUCGCACUCUUCCUUCGCCAACAUCCUCUCCUUCUCUCUGUGACUGUCUCACCGAUUCUUCUCUCCCCUUAGCAAUGAGUGAAGCUUUUUGGGGGAUUUGGAUCAUAAUGAUUUAUAGCUUUGUCUGAUCUCAGACAUUCGAUCUUACUUGCAACUAUCGACGGAUCACCAUGCCGGAUGUACGCCUCUCAUCCUCCAUUCCAGGAGUUGGGAUCAGUGGACAAGAGGCUCAACAAGCUGUCAUGGCUUCAAAUUUUGCAAUGGAGCAGUUCAGAUUCUUAGUUCCUUUCUAGUUGGUAUUGGAAUUACCAGCAAGUGACACAUUUGAAUUGAAGCUAGAAGGUUGAAGAUGGCCAAAUUUGUAUCUACUUUAAGUCGAACCAAUUGUAUAUGAUAUUCUUGAUGUUCGACUUGCACCUGCCACUUAUAACAGGAACAAUGAAAGAAGAAUCAGUAUGGUACCUUCUUUAUUAGUAUA